UUAUUAUUAUUAUUAUUAUUAUUAUUAUUAUUAUUAUUGAGGGUGUUGCUUUUAUUUUGCCUAGUAUAAUGUUUUUCCUAUCCUGUUAGAUUUUUUUUAUUAUAGAAUCUUAUUAGACUUAAUUUAUGUUCCAAACCAAAGUUGAACUUUUGCUUGACCAGAGAAGCUAUGUAAUACGUGUUUAUUGAAUUGAAUUGACAAUUGAAUUUUUCAAUAACUAAUACAUUUCCAUUAGUUGGCUUAUAAAAUUAUUUCCAGAAGGGCAGAUCCCUGAGUGAAUAUUAUACAAGGUAAAGGAGUUUUGAUGAGGAAGGAAAAACUUUCUUGAAUGAGAUGUGUUUUAGCAAACACAGGAUUUAGUAGGUGCCCUUAGCAAUCCAGAAGCUGUAUUACCAUAAUGAAAAGUAAUGCCAGGGAAAGGAUGCAAAGAGAAAGAAGGUGAAAGACACUUUAAGGUUAUCCUACAUUUGGUGUGGAAGUCUUGGUUAUAUAUAAAUCUAGUCUAAAUUUCUCAUGAAACCCCACGUCCUGCAUCUUUCUUUUUUUUUUUGCAAAUAAUAGAGUAGGAGGUAUCCAUUUUUUCUUUUAUAACGCUGCAAUUAUUUUCAAGUUUUUCUUUUUCUUUUCUCUCUUUCUUUUUAUUUUUUAUUUUUUAUUUUUUUGUCUUUUUGCCAUUUCUUGGGCUGCUCCCUCAGUAUAUGGAGGUUCCCAGGCUAGGGGUUGAAUCGGAGCUGUAGCCACCGGCCUACACCAGAGUCACAGCAACAAGGGAUCCGAGCCAUGUCUGCAGUCUAUACCACAGCUCAUGGCAAUGCCGGAUCCUUAACCCACUGAGCAAGGCCAGGGAUCGAACCCGCAACCUCCUGAUUCCUAGUCGGAUUUGUUAACCACUGAGCCACGACAGGAAGUCCGGUUUUUCUAUUUUAAUCAUGUUACAGUGUACAAUUCAGUGGUGUUAACUGUAUUCACAAUGCUGUGUUAACCAUCACCCCUAUCUAGUUCCAGAACAUUUUCAUCACCCCAAACAGACACUUCCUAUCCAUAAGCAGCCACUCCAUAUUUGCCCUCCUGACAGUACCUGGCAAAGGCUCUUCUAUUUUCUGUCUCCAUAAAUUUAACUAUUUUGGAUAUUUCAGAUGAAUCUAACCUCACAAUUUGUAGCCCUUGUGUCUGGCUUUUUUUAGCUUAGCAUGUUUCUUGAUUUGUCCAUGUUGUAGCAUGUAGUAGUAUUUUAUUCCUUUUUGUGAAUGAAUAAUAUUCCCCUGUAUGGAUGUAGCACAUUUUGCUUAUCCAUGAAUCCAUUGAUAGGGAUUUGGUUUGUUUUCACCUUUUGGUUAUUUUAGUGGUGGUGCUAUGCACAUUUGUGUACAAUUUUUUGUUUGAACACCCAUUUUCCAUCCUUUUGAAUAGAGGAGGGGAACUGGUAAGUUCAUAUAACAGUUCUAGCUUUAAUUUGUUGGAGAACUGCCAAUUGUUCUCCACAGCAGCUGAUCCAUUUUAUGUUCGCAUGAGCAAUGAAUGAGGGUUCCAGAUUUUCUAUAUCUUUGUUAACAUUUGUUUUCUUUUUCUUUAAGAUAACCAAAACAGUGGGUGUAAAUAGUGUCUCACUGUGGUUUUGAUUUGUACUUCCCUCAUAUGCAUCUCUUCAUACUUUGAUUUACACUUCCUACAUGGUCAUGGUGUCUCACUGUGGUUUUGAUUUACACUUCCCUCAUGAAGUCCCUCAUGUGCUUAUCUCCUCAUGUUUUGAUUUACACUUUCCACAUCACUUCUCAUGUGCCUCUCUUCCUAUGCUUGUUGGCCAAGACUAUAUCUGUUUUCGAGAAAGGCCUAUUUAAAUCCUUAAACCAUUUUUUUUUUCCAUUGGACUGUUUUUGAAUUUAGGAGUUGCAGAAAUCCUUAGGCCCUUGCCAUACAAAUGAUUUAUAAAUGUUUUCUCCCAUUCUUUGGGUUUUGUUUUCACUUUCUUGAUAGUGUCAUUGUUUUUCCCUUGUCAUGGGCACACCUGCAGCAUAUGGAAGUUCCUGGGUCAGGGGUCAAAUCAGAGCUGCAGUGAGACCUACACCACAGCCACAGCUACUGGAUCUAAGCAGCAUCUGUGACCCUUGCUGUGGCUUACAGCAAUGCCAGAUCCUUAACCCACUGAGCCAGGCCAGGGAUUGAACCUGCAUCCUCACAGAAAACAUGGGGUCCUUAACUUGCUAAGCCACAACAGGAACUCCUUGAUAGCGUACUUUGAUGCACAUUUUUUUUUUUAUUUUGAUGAAGUAUAAUUUAUCUUUUUUUUUCUAAUAUUAAAUCUAUGUUUCAUUUCUAGCUAAUAAUUGUCAAAGAUGUAUGGUCUAUGUCUAGGUACUUUUUGCUUUGCAUGGAACAUUUCCAACUAUUCCAGUACUCUCUGUUGAAAAGUCUAUCCUUUUUCCAUUAUUUGAUCUUUGCUCUUUUGUCAAAGAUCAGUUGACUAUAUUUGUGUAAGUCUAUUUGUGGGCUCUCUAUUCUGUUCAGUUUACCUUUGCGUUUCUUUUUUUCUUUAAUAGCAUGCUCUCUUGAUAACUGGAGCCAAAGAACAAACUAUGGUAUCAGGUAGUGUGAAUUAUCCAAGAGUCAUCUCCUUCCCCUUCCUUUCCUCCUGCUCUGCUUACUCUUCCUCCCCUCCCAGUAUUUUGUUGGCUAGUCUAGGUCCUUCCUCUUUUUGUAUACAUUUUAGAAUCUGUUUGAUAAUACAUACAAAAUAGCUUACUUGGAUUUUGAUUAGGAUUUCUUUGAAUCUACAGAUUAUAUGGGGACCACUGGCAUCUUAACAAUUUCGAGUCUAAUCCAUGAAAGUAAAAUAUUUAUAUAUACACAUAUAUAUACAUAUGUGAGAUCUUUUUUAUUGUUCAUGUUCUGUAGUCUUCCAUAGGCAGUACAUACCUUGUUAGGUUUAUACCUAUGUAUUUCAUUUUGAGGGGUAUUAUUGGAAACUCUAUUUUAAAUAUUUCAAAUUAUAGACAGUACCAUCUAAAUACACUGACUACACAACAUAGAGCUUUUUAUAUAGCAGCCAUUAAAUAAAUGGUAGCUAUUACUAUUUUGCAUAGGAAACUAUAAUUAAAUAAUUAAAUAGUAGAAUAUAGAUGGACAGUGAGAAAAAUAAUUGUCAGAGAAAUCAGAUUAUUUAUCAGACUGUUUGAAUUAUUUUUAUAACAAAUAGGUAUAUUCUAUAUUUUCUAUAACCAAACUGAUAGGAACUUUAAACUUAGCAGAAAAAUCAGUCUGUUAAAAUUAUGGAUGAAUUAGUCUGACAAAUAUGUUGGGCUUGGUAGUAAGACACAAAACUUAUUUCUAGUGAUUAUUAUACACUAAAAAAUACUUAAUUCUUAAACAGUAUGUUUAAAGAGAUUGUGAGGAAAGUAAUUUUCUUUUAUCAAAUAAUAUCGUUAUUAUAAAAUCUACCAUGGAUAAUAUCAAAGAAAAAAAUACCUAUACCAGAGGGAGUUCACUUAGAAAGAACUAACAGUUUGCCCACCACACAAAAUAGAAGUGGAUGGCCCUGACUUAACAUUUGUUUCAACUCAAUGAUACAGUUUGAUUUGUGAACACAAUGAUGUUGUUGUUAUGGCAGAGACUGUUUGGAAGACUGGAAAGAAUCAUAGAAAUAAAAUGACAUGAAAAACCUAGGAUGUGGUCACCAAAUUCAAUAAUCAUUAAUUCUGAGUUUUGAUAAGUACAAUUCUGAAAUCCUAAACCCACUAGGCUGUCUCUCCCAUGAAACAUCCUAUUGAUUCAUGGAAAUUCAUGAGUCAUGUACAUCACCUAUGUUGCUACUGGGAGGCCCAUUGUUGUUCUCCGCCUACCUUUUUAACUUCUGUUACUAUUGCCACAGAAGGUGCGAAUACUAAACUAGCUUCUACCAUAUUGAUUUUCUUUCAACAUUAUUACACGACUUCCAUUACUUUCCCAAUGAAUAUCUACUUUCUUCAAAUACUACAAUUUCUCUCAAAUAAUUUGGCAGGCUACACUGACAUUCUUGGAUAUCCAUUCAUUGUAAUAAGUUCUGCUUAUAUGACAAAUUCCUUUUCCUAUAGGCUAAAUUCUGACUCAUAGUCUCUAUUUUUAGAAUUUACCAUGUUACAUAGUUCAGGGUAUAAAGUAAAAGCUCAUACUCAGGGUAUAAAGAAAAAUCUUCUUUGAAAUAAAAUUGACAAAUGAGGCAUUUGCCAUCUUUCUUAUCUUAUUGUCUUCAUCAGACAUUUGAAGCUAUAGACCAUCUUACAAAAUAUAGAGCAUGAAAUAAUGCCAAGGGAUUUCCAAAGAUACCAGCCAUAAAUCAAUGCCUGACUGAAGUCAACUAUCUCCAGACUUCUCUUUAUGGGGAAAAAUAAACUUCUAACUACUUUAAGUUUUUUGUUACAUGCAUAUGACAGCAAUCCUAAUCCAGUUACUUUUACACAGAGUUUAAGUGGAGUAGUGUUGCCUGAGUCUAGGCCCUUGGAGUACUGGUGCUUUGUUAUUAAUAUCAAUAUGACCUCCAGGAAGUCUCAUUGUUCUUGUCCAAAAGAAGCCUGUUUUAAUUUUCCAGAUUGAAUAUAUGAGAUCAAUUGUAAUAAUUCAAUUAUUAAAGAUGGUCUAAUCUAUUUAUAAAGAAUCUGUUAUGAAAUUUAUGGAGACAGCUUCAGUUUGCUCAAUUUUUGGAUCUUUGUUUCUCUGUUGCCUGAAUUUUGACCAUCACCACCAAAGGCUGUAUCAUCAGUAAUUUUUAUUAAAAAAAUAUUGGUAUUGGUGAUGUUUAGAAUAGUUUCUUAUGACAAAGUAAACACUGCAAAUUGUUAACAAGUAAUUUAUGAAUAUAUAAAUAUCAUAUAAAAUGUAUAUGUUCUAAUGUAAGACAAAAAUGGAUGUUAUAUAUUAAUAAAGAUAAAAAAUGUGAUAGGUGGAUAUAUUGACAGACACCCAUGAUUUAAACUUAUAUGUUGACCAAAAACAGGCCGAAAAAGAGGCUCUAUACAGAGACAUUAUGGAAGAUUUUCUUCAUUCUGCUUUAUACUUCAUCUAUAUUUCUAGUUUU
rnacentral:lncRNA from 1 species